GGUGAAUGUUGCAUUAAUUGCUCACUUUAGUUGAUGACCAACUCACAACCACUUCCCCUAUGUGUCAUUCUUUUUGUUUGUCCAACACAUUAGCAAUUCUUGUAAGCAAUCCUUGGCAAUUAAUGGGAGCCAAAAGAGAGUGAAUGAGUGGAGAAUUAGUAGGAGAAUGAAGGCCAUAUGGCCGGAUAUUGCAAGAAAGGGAGGAGCUUGUGAUAUAUCUAGCACUAAAGUAAAGUCAUCUUAUUUUCUUUUACUUCUUUCUCUUUCAUUUUACUACCAAAGUUAGCUAAGAAGACAAGAGAGAGAGAGAGAGAGAGAAGAGAAGGCCAUUUUCGGCCACUCUAAGGGAAGAAGAAGGGGAGAUUUAGACUUUCAUAAAAUCAAGAUCCAUCUACAAUUGUGAAGGAGAAAGAAGAUAGAGCUAAGGUAUAGCAAAAAAAAUUUCUUCUUAUGUAGUUUAUUUUUCUUGGUAGUUUGAUUUGAUUUUUGAUAACUUGAAGUUGUGAUCUUGAGGUUUAAAACCUUAGGUCUAUGUAUAUAUAAGUGUAUCAUGUUAAGAUCUAACAAUAUUGGGUGUUGAUUUUGGUUGGAAUCAAAGGUAUAAAAUUUCCUAAACUCAAAACUCUAAUUAGUUUAUGUGUUUUGUGAUGGUUGUUUUAGACCAAGUGUUGAACUUAUGAUCCAUAUGAGGGAAGAUCUACAUGAUAUAUGAUAUUUUAUGGUUAGAUCUUGCCAUUUUUAGGGUUGAUAAGCUUGAACAAAGAAGAUGAACCAAAAUAGUUUUUUUUUGUUUUAAAUGAAUUAGUGGACUGCUACCCUAAACAGAAAAAUUUUGGAUUUUUUACGGUGCUCUAAAAAUUCUGGACUUGUGAUAUGUUAUAGUACACUCAAUAAGCUUUCCAUAGACUCUGAAACGGACUAAAUCCGAUAUCGGAGGAGCAAGUUAUGGGAUUUCUACCAAACUACACAAAGUUAAGAAAAAACUGUUAGAAGGACAGUUUUUACCAGCCACUUCCGGGCUAAAUUCCGGGAGCUAAACAUAUCCAAAUAUGUAUUGUGAUAUAUGAAAACUUUAGUUCGGAAAGAUACGAAUCCAACAAAAUUGACGGAUCAUUAAUCGGAGUUACAGAUUUCGUUUUAUUUAAGUUUUGGUGAAGGACUCCAAAACUGCUAAAGUGCAAAAAGUUUCUGGCCAAACUUUUCCGAGGGCUGUUUUGGACAUUUAGUUAAUGAGAAAAAUUCCAGGCUGUUGGGAAAUGAAAAUAUAUGAUAAUAUGUAGCUCGUG
rnacentral:lncRNA from 1 species